CGCUGAAAAACAGGUUCUCGUUUGAUCACCGAAGUUAAGCCGUGUCGAUCCCGAUCAGUAUUUAGAUGAGUGACCGCUUGGGAACAUCGGGUACUGUA